CGGCUUGCCUUGGAUUUAUUGGCCUAUGUUUUCAUAUACACCAUAAUGUAAUAGAAUGUUAUUAAUGGGCUUUGCCUAUAAACUAUAUACAACUUUCAGCAACGGAUCUCUUGGCUCUCGCAUCGAUGAAGAACGCAGCGAAAUGCGAUAAGUAAUGUGAAUUGCAGAAUUCAGUGAAUCAUCGAAUCUUUGAACGCACCUUGCGCUCCUUGGUAUUCCGAGGAGCAUGCCUGUUUGAGUGUCAUUAAAUUCUCAACCUUAUUAGCUUUUGCUGGUAAUGGCUUGGACUUGGGGGUUAUUUGCUGGCUUCUUCAUGAGAUCAGCUCCCCUUAAAUGCAUUAGCUGGUUGUCUUUGACUUGUCUAUUGGUGUGAUAAUUAUCUACGCCGUGGGCUUGUCUGCUUAGCACCGCUUCUAACUGUCUGUUGACUCAGACACUUUAUGACAAUUUGACCUCAA
rnacentral:rRNA from 1 species